rnacentral:misc_RNA from 1 species
ACGAGUUAGGGUCUCUCUGGCCCGACCUCCAACCCUUUGCUUACUUGACCUAUUUUGUUGCUUCGGCAGGCCCGCCGCCCGGAAACGGGUGGCCGCCGGGGGCGUUUCACCGCCCCGGGCCCGCGCCUGUCGAUGGCCCUAUUAAAACUCUUGUCAAAACGUGUCGUCUGAGUUUAUCUAAACAAAUAAAAACCA